ACUGAAAAGGCAAAGAGAAAAAAUUAGAACGACUCCAACAGCAAAGAAAGAGAUCCAGAGCCUGCUUGACAAGUGACAGUUUCAUAUUUCAGUUGUUCAGCACUAUCAAACCCCACUGCCUUUUGAUCCCACAGGUCUUAACAUGCCAGUUUUCUGGUAUUUACUUCUUCCCUACUUAUAAGAAGUUCUCUAGACAGCAGAAGUGAUACAGUCGCUUUUCCUGUGGAUCAGUGCUUCAUUGUAAUGCCCUCAGAUAAUUCUCAUAUCCCAACAUUCCCUGUCCUUUAGUACUUCCAGUUUUCUUUUGUUUCUCAGCAGGAUGUUCAGUAACUUCUUAGUUCCCAGGACAGUUUUAAUGGAGUUUAAAUCGUUCAAAAACAUAUCUUGUGCUAACUAGCCUGGAACAGGAGCCAGUGCCACAGAACCACUCACUCUGGGGAUUAAGCUACUAAUCCGGGAAUCAGAAAACCAAGGUUCAGUUCUCCAGCUCUGCUAUAGCCAUCAUAUAAGACCUAAAGCAAAUUACCUUGCCUGCACUGCCAUCUCCUAACAAUGGGAAAAAUAGCUCUUUCACCAUUCUUGAUGAGUUAGCUUAGUUCAUUAAUUCAGUGGGCCAUUUAUACGUCUUACAAAGUACAUGUCAAAUGCUUAAUAUAGUUGGAUCCAGAUUUUGUGGGACUUCAUUCCGAUACCUAUAUACCCUAGUAUUUCUAUAAUCAUCAGCAUUAACAGAGAUCAUAAUAGUCAAAUGCUCAAUAUACAUACAUUUGGCCAAAGUAGGAAUUCACUGCUUUUUAAUUUCUCAGUUAAAAAAAAACCUGAACUGCUCUUAUUGCAGCUUUGCCGCUGUUGUUUCACUCUUUUCCAAGUCACCACCUUCAUCUGCUCACAGGUAACCAUGUAACCUGCACUUACAUUCAUCAUAUUUUAGACUAUUCUAGCACUCUCCAUCAGCAUUUUAACAUUUUGGAUUAAUGUACACUAACAUUUUCUUGUGUGUGCAGAGUAAUACUCUUAUUCUAUAAAUAAGAAAUUGAACCACAGACAUUAGAGACGAAACAUAUACUACUAACUUAGUUAGCCAUAAUACUGUAAGGUAGUGAGCAUGUUCUUCAGUUUAACUGUGUCUCGAUUAAUUUAGUCCUCCAAUUUAAUGGACAACUUACUCAAAACUAUCACUGAGCACAAGCAACCUUGUUUGAGAAAGCAUAUUUGAAAAGCAAAGGUUUCCCCCUGUGGCACAGCUCCAAUUCAUGUGAGAAUUCAUCAGUAGCACAGAAAAUGUCACUUGUCACAUACAACCUAUAACAUUUACUAGAUACUUCAGAUGAAGACAAAGGAACAUGACAAUAAGUAAAUAUGAUAUAUCUGCACCACCAUAAAGUUUCAUCUUUAAAGGGUAUUUUAAAUCUCAUUUAAAAUCACUCUAUUAUUGUAAUCCAUAUUAACUUUCAAUCUCCUUUUAAUACCUCUUCUUAGCCAUAUACCAUGGCGAUUAAUUGGACAACUUAAUUCCCUCUUGAAUUACUUCCUUCUACACAAUUUAAUUUUUUCCCCAGUUUCACUAGAUGUUCCUUUAAAGUCUUAAUAAAAUUCACAGGAAACAGAACUCCUGACCUACAUUCCUUAUAUCAUUACUUAAUAUACUUUUUGUCAUAUCA